rnacentral:miRNA from 1 species
CUCGUUAACCGCCCUCCCGAGA